GUCCGGGUGGCGGAAUUGGCAGACGCGCUAGCUUGAGGUGCUAGUGCCCUUUAUCGGGCGUGGGGGUUCAAGUCCCCCCUCGGACAC
rnacentral:tRNA from 1 species